AGCUGGCCGCGUGCCUAACAGAAGAAAAGUCGUACGAGACAUCCCGGGCAACUGGGAGAGUAGAGUGUCCCCCGGGUGAGUAACGCGUGGGUAACCCGCCCUUAAGUUGGGGAUAACUCCGCGAAAGCGGGGCUAAUACCGAAUCAUAUUCUAUUUUCUUCGGGAGAUGGAAUCAAAGGUGGCCUCUGCAUGCAAGCUAUCGCUUAGGGAAGGGCCCGCGUACCAUUAGCUUGUUGGUAGGGUAAUGGCCUACCAAGGCAACGAUGGUUAGCUGGUCUGAGAGGACGACCAGCCACACUGGAACUGAGACACGGUCCAGACUCCUACCGGAGGCAGCAUUGGG
rnacentral:sRNA from 1 species